rnacentral:rRNA from 1 species
UUUUGGACAAUGGGGGCAACCAUGAUCCAGCAAUGCCGCGUGAGUGAAGAAGGCCUUCGGGUUGUAAAGCUCUUUUGUCAGGGAAGAAACACCGGCUCUAACACAGUCCGGGAAUGACGGUACCUGAAGAAUAAGCACCGGCUAACUACGUGCCAGCAGCCGCGGUAAUACGUAGGGUGCGAGCGUUAAUCGGAAUUACUGGGCGUAAAGCGUGCGCAGGCGGUUAUACAAGACAGGCGUGAAAUCCCCGGGCUUAACCUGGGAAUGGCGCCUGUGACUGUAUAGCUAGAGUGUGUCAGAGGGGGGUAGAAUUCCACGUGUAGCAGUGAAAUGCGUAGAUAUGUGGAGGAAUACCAAUGGCGAAGGCAGCCCCCUGGGAUAACACUGACGCUCAUGCACGAAA